rnacentral:rRNA from 1 species
GACGAACGCUGGCGGCGUGCCUAAUACAUGCAAGUCGAGCGCAGGAAACUGACGGAACUCUUCGGAGGGAAGGCAGUGGAAUGAGCGGCGGACGGGUGAGUAACACGUAAGGAACCUGCCUCAAGGAUUGGGAUAACUCCGAGAAAUCGGAGCUAAUACCGGAUAGUUCAACGGACCGCAUGGUCCGCUGAUGAAAGGCGCUUCGGCGUCACCUUGAGAUGGCCUUGCGGUGCAUUAGCUAGUUGGUGGGGUAACGGCCCACCAAGGCGACGAUGCAUAGCCGACCGGAGAGGGUGAUCGGGCACACUGGGACUGAGACACGGCCCAGACUCCUACGGGAGGCAGCAGUAGGGAAUCUUCCACAAUGGACGAAAGUCUGAUGGAGCAACGCCGCGUGAGUGAUGAAGGUUUUCGGAUCGUAAAACUCUGUUGUAAGGGAAGAACACGUACGAGAGGAAAUGCUCGUACCUUGACGGUACCUUACGAGAAAGCCACGGCUAACUACGUGCCAGCCGCCGCCGUAA